CUUCUGUAGCUUUGAUUGCUUUAUGAAGUUUUUUUUUGUGUAUUUGAAAAUGAAAUUUUACUGAAUUGCUCAAACUAUAUUCCAUUCACCGCUUAGCGUUAUCGCGCAUAUAAAUAAACAUUCAAAGGGUCACGCAAGAACAAACCAUAAAUCAAUAAAAUGCAUUAGAUGCCAAUUUAUUUAUUUCCUACGUUUUGUGCCAUUAAUCGUCAAGAACCUAAGACAAAUCACUCAAUCAGUGUGUCGCUUCGACAGAACGCCCGAAGCGAAGACACACAAACAAUCAUGCGACAAAAUAACCGAAGGAGGAGAGACGCUGCAGAGCCACAACCAACGGUGAACUGAUGGACUGCACAGCAGUCCGACAUAGUCGCGGCACUCACGCUCGGUAUUGACAAUUUCUUCCACAUAAAGCAAUCUUCCACCAUCGCUAAACGACAUAAACUGACAUAGCUGCAAAUCCAAAUCUGAGCGCCGAAAAACAAAGCCAAUUCCAGCUGCCGCCACAUCACCAAAGCUUAACUUAAUUGAUUGACCUGCUCAAUGCAUAUAGAGGCUAUAAGCGGACGCUAAAAACUUUUAUGGCAAUACUGCUGAAAGACAAUUUUCAAAAGUCGCAAAGGUAGAAAGCAAAAGCACAUAGCUAAAUCUUGUUAGCUGUAAGGCGGCCAAGCUCACCACUGACACGGAAGUUAGAAUACGAAUAUGUUGAGCAGUAAUAAAGAUGACCUGUCUGUUGAUUUUGUCAUUCAAUCAAUCGCAUUUAGAAAUUAAUAACUGGAAAUUGUAGUAUGACCACAGGCUAGACGCCUAGCGAUAGUACUGUGAGACAGCGCUGCGCCUACAAAAGGACCGGUGACAACAAAGCUACACACGCCCAAUAGCCAAAAACUUCGAGCAACAACAAUAUACAUAGUGAGGUGCAUGCUGUAAUAAGUUUAUUCUAUCCAAAGUAGUAGUUUACGAGGGCCACCUCAGAAGACAGUGAAACUUUGAACAAUAUAUACCUGUAUUUACUAAGUCAAAAA